GUAAAUACACAGAACAAAUAUAAAUGUAAUUAUUGGUUAGCUUUGAUAAUUGAAUGCCUUUCUAAAUGGCCCGGUACCUGUUAGCUGGAAUGCCUAAGUGGCUCUCAAGCCUUUAAAGCUGGAGAUUCAGAAUAUCUGCUAAUACUGUCUAGAGACUGUGCGGCUCUGAAAGGCUUUCUCCUUGCCCUACUGAAAUAUCUUUGGAGUUUGAACUUUGGGUGCAAAUGUGACUAUUCCUGACAGUUCUCUGAAGAGGGCUCAUGAACCUUCUGGAGUUCUGGAUGGUGGUUUUCCUUCAUUUGGGCAGAAUAAGAUGCUCCUCAUCAGACCUGUGCUCCAGACCUCUCAACAGCUUCACUGCCCUUCUCUGGACAUGCUUGUAGAGGAUGAAAGAAUGCGCCUCUUUAAACCCCUGUGAUUCAUGAUGUUACUUCAGUAGUAGACCAUUUCACUUCAUUUCACUUCUCCAGCUUUUGAUAGGCUUCAAUGCAUUGUCUCCUGAUGUUCCUGAAAGUAUGAAGUAUUUUCUGCUAUUUCAAGGUGUUCUCUAGCCUGUCUGCUACAAUAUGAAGAAGGACUCAGUGGCAGCAUUGAAUAAUUAUUUACAGAAGAGGUAAAAAAAAAAUUUUAGUUAUACAAGAGUGUGCAUGUCACACUUGUAGAAAUCUGCACCAGAGGAGGUGACCCACUGUUGCUAUCAUCACUGCUAAAAUGCACCACCCACUGUUUAUUGUGCUCACAUCCACUCUUUGAUCUCUAGAAAUGUUCAGCAAGCAUCAGUGAACAUCAAUGGGUGCCAUUUUUUCCGCAUGGAGG
rnacentral:lncRNA from 1 species